GUGGGGAAUAUUGGACAAUGGGCGCAAGCCUGAUCCAGCCAUACCGCGUGGGUGAAGAAGGCCUUCGGGUUGUAAAGCCCUUUUGUUGGGAAAGAAAUCCUGUCGGUUAAUACCUGGCGGGGAUGACGGUACCCAAAGAAUAAGCACCGGCUAACUUCGUGCCAGCAGCCGCGGUAAUACGAAGGGUGCAAGCGUUACUCGGAAUUACUGGGCGUAAAGCGUGCGUAGGUGGUGGGUUAAGUCCGUUGUGAAAGCCCUGGGCUCAACCUGGGAAUUGCAGUGGAUACUGGAUCACUAGAGUGUGGUAGAGGGAUGCGGAAUUUCUGGUGUAGCAGUGAAAUGCGUAGAGAUCAGAAGGAACAUCCGUGGCGAAGGCGGCAUCCUGGGCCAACACUGACACUGAGGCACGAAAGCGUGGGGAGCAAACAGGAUUAGAAACCCGUGUAGUCC
rnacentral:rRNA from 1 species